UGGGGAAUAUUGGACAAUGGGCGAAAGCCUGAUCCAGCCAUGCCGCGUGUGUGAAGAAGGUCUUCGGAUUGUAAAGCACUUUAAGUUGGGAGGAAGGGCAGUAAGCGAAUACCUUGCUGUUUUGACGUUACCGACAGAAUAAGCACCGGCUAACUCUGUGCCAGCAGCCGCGGUAAUACAGAGGGUGCAAGCGUUAAUCGGAAUUACUGGGCGUAAAGCGCGCGUAGGUGGUUCGUUAAGUUGAAUGUGAAAGCCCCGGGCUCAACCUGGGAACUGCAUCCAAAACUGGCGAGCUAGAGUAGGGCAGAGGGUGGAGGAAGUUCCUGUGUAGCGGUGAAAUGCGUAGAUAUAGGAAGGAACAACAGUGGCGAAGGCGACCACCUGGGCUCAUACUGACACUGAGGUGCGAAAGCGUGGGGAGCAAACAGG
rnacentral:rRNA from 1 species